rnacentral:tRNA from 1 species
GACCGCGUAGCUCGGUUGGCAGAGCAUUGGGCUAGUAUUCCAAAGGUCGUAGGUUCGAUUCCCACUGUGGACA